GCUCAGAGGAAGAACGGCGUGAAGAGUGAACGAGGGUCCUGCAGGAGUGUCCUCUCAGAUGCACGUCCUCCUCCUAAUGAGGGGCAGGACGGGGACACAAAGGGACGGAGUGAGGAGCACAGCCCAGUUUGAUCGCCGGGGACCAGAAACACACCGAGAGGUGUGAUGAUGAAAGGCGCUUCGUACCGGCUGCUGAUUUAGGAUUCAUUGGUGGUUUAAAUCCCCGAGGUGAAACUGAGACGUUAGUCUGUGACGGCGGUGGACCCUCCUGCCUCUUUGACGUUCGGCGUGGACCUUCUCCAGGAAAACACCUUCAUGUCCCAGCAGCUCCGCCUGAUUGGACCACAAAAGGUUCCUCUUCAUCAUCAAUUACCUGAUGGGUCCAGACCAGCUGCUUCUCUACUCCUCUUCCUCUCCAGUCCUCUCCAGAUCCUGGAUCCGUACGAGUCUAAAGCUGCCGUCGGUCCUUCGUGGUCUUCUGAACCCCAGGGGGCGCCUGCGGGGGGGCUCAGACCCCAGCUGGGACCUGUGGGUGUGGGGGGCACAGUGCUGAGGACCAGGCGGUUCGGGGUGGGGCUUUGACAGAAGCUGAAGUCCAGCUUCAGGGGGCUUUCGUGGCGGUGGAAGCUGAAGUCAGCGGAUGAGGAUCUGGGACUCGUCUCCUCGUCGAGUCUUUCAACGACCCUCCCGGCAGCCCCCGCUCUGCUUCGGAGGGUCUGCUUUGCUUCUGUCCAGCUGCUCUGGGGGUGAACAUCUGGGCUGCCAAAGGAGCCGCUUAGGAGGUCCAGUUUGAAUGCUGCAGAUUCUGGGUCUCGCCUGCAGAAAAGGUCCUCAGCUCUGCCAGCUUCACACAGGA